GUGGGGAAUAUUGGACAAUGGGGGGAACCCUGAUCCAGCCAUGCCGCGUGUGUGAAGAAGGCCUUUUGGUUGUAAAGCACUUUAAGCGAGGAGGAGGCUACCGAGAUUAAUACUCUUGGAUAGUGGACGUUACUCGCAGAAUAAGCACCGGCUAACUCUGUGCCAGCAGCCGCGGUAAUACAGAGGGUGCAAGCGUUAAUCGGAUUUACUGGGCGUAAAGCGCGCGUAGGUGGCCAAUUAAGUCAAAUGUGAAAUCCCCGAGCUUAACUUGGGAAUUGCAUUCGAUACUGGUGGGCUAGAGUAUGGGAGAGGAUGGUAGAAUUCCAGGUGUAGCGGUGAAAUGCGUAGAGAUCUGGAGGAAUACCGAUGGCGAAGGCAGCCAUCUGGCCUAAUACUGACACUGAGGUGCGAAAGCAUGGGGAGCAAACAGGAUUAGAAACCCGGGUAGUCC
rnacentral:rRNA from 1 species